rnacentral:rRNA from 1 species
UACAGAGGGGGCAAGCGUUGUUCGGAAUUACUGGGCGUAAAGGGCGCGUAGGCGGCCUUCUAAGUCGAACGUGAAAUCCCCGGGCUCAACCCGGGAACUGCGUCCGAUACUGGAAGGCUUGAAUCCGGGAGAGGGAUGCGGAAUUCCAGGUGUAGCGGUGAAAUGCGUAGAUAUCUGGAGGAACACCGGUGGCGAAGGCGGCAUCCUGGACCGGCAUUGACGCUGAGGCGCGAAAGCCAGGGGAGCAAAGCGGGG